AUGGCCCUGUCUCCAGCUCCGCAAAGAAGUUUUGGGCGGAUCGGGACCGCAACGAGAAACAUCCCCGUCCUCAUCUGGAGCAGGAUAUUCAGCACAAAGGGCUUUAUGAGACUCCCAAAGCGUGGCAUCUGGUUCUGCAUGCGAGGACUCUGCAUCCAAGGCUGCCGCGUGGCGAUGUUAUUGUUAGCAGUGAUUUCUAUUUCCAUAGCUCCGGGAGGCAGAGAUCAGAGUCCUGCUGGGCUGAACGCUGCGUGUACCGUAACAAAAAGGCAGUCGUGGUGCCAAACAACUUCCAGCCUUCUCCUUAAUGUAAGGACCGUGGAAUUAAGAUUGCCAUAGCAACAUCUUGCUCAUAUUGCAUGUAUAGAUAUGACUUGUCAGUCUCGUGUGUGUAUGUAUACAAACCCUAAAUAUCUCUGGCACCUUUUUCUGCUGUUGGGUUGAUGCCUCAUGUGUUACAGAUCUCAGUGCUCUUCCCCCACCACAUCCAGGCUUUCCAUCCUCCUGGUUUCUGCAUUUCCAUCCGCUGUUUUCAAGCAAGCCAGCCACCAGGAACGUGAUCAGUGCCCGUGUGCUCCUAUUGAUGCUUUCACCCAGCAAUUUGCAGAGCUCCCUGCCUGUAAUCAGCGGCCGAAAGCACCGCGCUUUGUAGGAGGAAACAUCUGGGAUGGCUGCUGGAUCCGGGCAGGCUGUUUCCCAUGAGGAUGAUGAAAAUGAGCCUUUGCUAACGGGGUAACUGAGCCCCUCGCUGACACGCAGUGAGGGUGUCAUUAGGACACUUCUUGCACCAUGCCUGGUGAUGAGCGUGUUAGUGCCCAGAGCUCUAAACCAGCCUUUUUGUUGGGGCUGAGGCACAGCCAGAGUACAAGCUCAGCUCCCUUUUCUGAAUGCAGCUUGGGUGGAACUGGGGGAGGCCCUGUGAUGUCCAAAAGCUGCCCUCCAGCCGUCCCCUAAAUGGGGCAGGACCCCUGGCUUGUGGCUGGGAGGAAGAAAGGGCAGAGUAAGGGAGGAGAGGGGCUGAGAGCCACGGGGAGCAGCAGGAGGCACCCCACAGCAUCCCUGCCUGCAGGAGGAUAAACAGGGACAUUGUGCCCUCUCCCCUCCUCUCCUUGAUUUAUUGUCCUGCUGUGGGACACCAAACACCUUGAGUAACUCGUGUGCUGUUGGGCAACGUAGGAGGAAAGCUUUUCUCAGAAAAUAAAGCCCUUAGAAGAGUUCUUGUUGGCCGCAAAAUACGUCAACUGAAUCUGAACCUUUCUGGCCUGACAAAAUGGGGUGAAAAGGCUUUGGCCAAGGCCAUACAAACCACGUGCACAGUUCAGCCUCUGCCAUACAAACCAUCCCGCUAGCAAAAGCCUUUUUGGCAAAGGGGGACUCUGGUGCUCCGUCCCACAGCAGCAUUGCCCCUGUCACCGUGUACUCAGAGUCCCGAAGGAAUACAAAGUUUUCCUUCUUUCCCUUGCCAUUUACUGCAGCUUUGGGCAGUUGGGCUGAAUGAGCAGGCUUUUCGGGUGCCAGACAAAAAAGCCCAUUAAGGGGCAGCGAAGUGUGCACACCGCAUGGGGCCGGGGCUGUGGGGACGAAGCAGGAGGGGGCUGGACAUGAGGCUGGUGGUUUGUCCUGAGUUUCCGUGGCAUAAAUGGACCCGUUUGUGUGUCUGUCUCUCCUGCAGAGGCCACUCAGGAUUUCCCAGCCUGGUGUUGCUGGAUCUGCCCCUUCCUGGGGGCUGCAGAAGGGCCAGUAAUAAUUUUGGUAAGCAUGAAGAGCUCCCUUGAGCCAGCCAAGGGAAAUGGAUAUGUCGCUGCCACUAAGCAGGCUCAGCCAUAAGGACAAGAUAAAUCGGCCCUAAAUAUGCCAAACAGCAUAGUGGCAUUUGUGGAGAACAACCGUUAUCUUUGUGUAGUUGACAAAAGUUAAUUGUCUCUUUUGCACUGACAAAAAUCAGCGUAGCAGGCAGCCUGUCCCCGUGUAGGGGGGGGGAAAUCCUUCAUUUAUAAGCAAUUCAUUAAGCAGCAUUAAAGCUGUCUCUGAAGACAAAAUAAUCUUUUUAAAGAGGACUCAAGGUACUGAGAAGGAAGAUUAAUGCCUCAGCUACUUUUCAAUUAUGCAGGUUUUCAGUUGUUAGGGUGUACCUGGAUUAACUCUUCCUGAGCCGAGCACCUUGGCAGGCACCGUGCCGAUGGGCAAUGCUCUGCACCUAAAAAUAAAAAAUAAAUAAAAGGUUUGGGAGUAUUUUGCACCAAUUGCGUUCUGUUUGGUCCUGGUGUUUGUACCUGUAACCUCUGCUCUGUGCCAUGGGAGCCAAGGAGCUGUGAUUGCUGACCCUAAUUCAGUUUCCUUCUCCUGUGAUCAUAUGUGGUCCUUGCACGAUCCAACGAGCCUGAAUGCCUCCAACACGCUGCAGGUAUUUUUCUUCAGUGUGAUUUACGUCAGAGUUUCUGGCAGAGCGUAAUUAGAAAAGGUCUCAUUGAUACCCCCACCGCCGUUUCUUUCCUUGCCGCCGCUUCCUCGAGCGCCAGACUUCUCUUAAUUGAAGCAGCGACGAGUCCAUUUAGCAGGAAGGUGGGAGGAAGCAGCCUGAGAACGAUUCAUCUAAAUCACCUCGCCGAUGCAAACAGUUGCUCACUACAUCUAUCAUAAUUUCUUCCAAGUGUCAUACGAGAGAUUAGUGGCUGUAACCAUGCAGAUGCAUGCACGUGGCCGGCACACCUACCCCGAUCUGCUCGUCUAGGGCAGCUGCAGAAAAAGACAGCUUUGUGCAGGUGUCAGUUCUGCACCAAAAGAAAAACCUUUUUGUUAUUGUUAUUAUUUUGGAAAUAUGUCUUCCUCCACUUCACACUGCUGUGCUAGGAAAUAUUUUUAAGUGUAAAUGAGGCCAAAAUCUUUGCUGGGCAGCUUUGGUGCUCCUGUGGGUGCCCUGGCCUGGGAGAGAACCAACAGAAGUUCCCCUGCCCUGCAGCUGGGGGGGAGCAGUGGGGGUUAAUGUUAAUUCUCUUCCAGUUACUCAGCAAUCAGCUGGUAACCAGUCCGUAUCAGUAGGCAAAACCCCACCAGACGUCCCAGCUCAGCAAUCUCCUUGCUGUGGGGCUGGAGGGCAGUGCCAGCAGGAGGUAAUCCUCCUGGGUGGGGGUCUGCUGGGGCUCCUGAAAGCCUCCCCAGCCAGAGAAGUGAUGGCAUUGUGCACAUCCCUGCAAAGUGCUCAGAAAGGCAGCUGCUUUUCCCUGCACUUCGGACACCACCUUCAUUGGUUUCAACCUGCAUAUGAGCUCCAGGUCCUCUGAUGCCACAUCCCAGCUCUCCACACCUAAAGUACUUCUGAAAGUGACUUAAAAGUGAUGAAAACAGCACCAGAUCAGAACAGAAUGAAGGCAAAAGUUGACGAAGCAUGCAUCCACGUGAGCUGCUCCCAAACUGCAGGAAGGUUCUGAACGCAAACUAGGCAGAAGUCUGUGAAGAAAACUAUUUGGUUUUGAUGGAAAGAAAACAUUUCCAAUAUUGUGUAGAAUGCAGCGCAAGCUCACCCAAAGGGCCAAGCCUCAAGCUGAACUACUGCAUUUGGCAAUUUGAAAAUGCACUGUUAUAAUAAAAGUGAAAUAAAAUAAAAUAAAAUAAAACUUUUUUUUUUUUUUCAAAAUGGAGUGCUCUCAAG
rnacentral:lncRNA from 1 species